CCUACGGGUGGCAGCAGUCGGGAAUAUUGCGCAAUGGAGGAAACUCUGACGCAGUGACGCCGCGUGCAGGAAGAAGGUUUUCGGAUUGUAAACCGCUUUAGACAGGGAAGAAAAAAGACAGUACCUGUAGAAUAAGCUCCGGCUAACUACGUGCCAGCAGCCGCGGUAAUACGUAGGGAGCAAGCGUUAGCCGGAUUUCUUGGGUGUAAAGGGGGCGUAGACGGAAAAGCAAGUGAGUUGUGAAAUACCUGGGCUGAACUGAGGAACUGCAACUAAAACUGCCUCCCUGGAGUGCUGGAGAGGAAAGUGGAAUUCCUAGUGUAGCGGUGAAAUGCGUAGAUAUUAGGAGGAACACCAGUGGCGAAGGCGACUGUCUGGACAGUAACUGACGUUGAGGCACGAAAGUGUGGGGAGCAAACAGGAUUAGAUACCCGAGUAGUC
rnacentral:rRNA from 1 species